rnacentral:rRNA from 1 species
GACUGUUUAUCAAAAACACAUGGCUUUGCUAAAUCGAAAGAUGAUGUAUAAGGCCUGACACCUGCCCGGUGCCGGAAGGUUAAAAGGAGAGCUUAGCUUCGGCGAAGGUUUGAAUUGAAGCCCCGGUAAACGGCGGCCGUAACUAUAACGGUCCUAAGGUAGCGAAAUUCCUUGUCGGGUAAGUUCCGACCUGCACGAAUGGUGUAACGAUCUGGGCACUGUCUCAGCCACGAGCUCGGUGAAAUUGUAAUCUCGGUGAAGAUGCCGAGUACCCGCAACGGGACGGAAAGACCCCGUGCACCUUUACUACAACUUCACAUUGGUAUUGGAUAAUUGAUGUGUAGGAUAGGUGGGAGACUACGAAGCGGCCUCGCUAGGGGUUGUGGAGUCGUCCUUGAAAUACCACCCUUCAAUUAUCUGAUAUCUAACUUCGUUAGAAGAACAGUGUGUGGUGGGUAGUUUGACUGGGGUGGUCGCCUCCAAAAGAGUAACGGAGGCUUCUAAAGGUACCCUCAGUACGCUUGGUAACCGUACGUAGAGUGCAAUGGCACAAGGGUGCUUGACUGUGAGACUUACAAGUCGAGCAGGUACGAAAGUAGAGCAUAGUGAUCCGGUGGUUCCGCAUGGAAGGGCCAUCGCUCAAAGGAUAAAAGGUACGCCGGGGAUAACAGGCUGAUCACUCCCAAGAGCUCACAUCGACGGAGUGGUUUGGCACCUCGAUGUCGGCUCGUCACAUCCUGGGGCUGGAGAAGGUCCCAAGGGUUGGGCUGUUCGCCCAUUAAAGUGGCACGCGAGCUGGGUUCAGAACGUCGCGAGACAGUUCGGUCCCUAUCUGUUGUGGGCGUUAGAGAUUUGAGGGAACCUGACCCUAGUACGAGAGGACCGGGUUGGACGAACCUCUAGUGUACCUGUUGUGGCGCUAGCUGCAUCGCAGGGUAGCUAUGUUCGGACGUGAUAAGCGCUGAAAGCAUCUAAGCGCGAAACACAUCUCAAGAUGAGAUCUCUUUUAAAGGUCGUUAAAGACGAUAACGUUGAUAGGCUACAGGUGUAAAGUCAGUGAUGGCAAAGCCGAGUAGUACUAAUUACCUGUAAGCUUUUAAUAA